AUUGAACGCUGGCGGCAUGCUUUACACAUGCAAGUCGAACGGUAACAGGCCGCAAGGUGCUGACGAGUGGCGAACGGGGGAGUAAUGCAUCGGAACGUGCCCAGUCGUGGGGGAUAACUACUCGAAAGAGUAGCUAAUACCGCAUACGAUCUAUGGAUGAAAGCGGGGGACCGUAAGGCCUCGCGCGAUUGGAGCGGCCGAUGUCAGAUUAGGUAGUUGGUGGGGUAAAGUCUCACCAAGCCAACGAUCUGUAGCUGGUCUGAGAGGACGACCAGCCACACUGAGACUGAGACACGGCCCAGACUCCUACGGGAGGCAGCAGUGGGGAAUUUUGGACAAUGGGCGCAAGCCUGAUCCAGCAAUGCCGCGUGCAGCAAGAAGGCCUUCGGGUUGUAAAAUGCUUUUGUACGGAACGAAACGGCUCUGGUUAAUACCCGGGGCUAAUGACGGUACCGUAAGAAUAAGCACCGGCUAACUACGUG
rnacentral:rRNA from 1 species